CCCACAUGUUUUUAAUGAUAUGAAAAGAAGUGUGGAAAGUGUCAGCAUAUUUCCACCGUAAGUGCAUCUCUUAGUCAAAAGGAGUUAGGUAUUGUGUUGGCAUCAUUAUCCAUGUAGUGAGUGGAGAUGUUAGGUAAGCUUUGGUUGUUUGGUUUUAUUAUAAAUGUAUGCUUGAUAGCUGUGAAAGGAGUGUGGCACACUAAAGUGUGUGCACCGUGGGAAUGGGCAGAGAGAAGCCUCACGGUUUUGUGAGAGAAAACCAGAGAGGGAGAAGCCACCAAAGUCAUGGUGUUUUGUGAGAAAGGUAGAAGGGUAUGCAACCCAUGAAUAGAGAAAAGUACAGAGAGAGAGAGUGGCACGCCACCGAGAAGAAGAAAGAAAGGAAUAUUGUGAGUGUGUGGAAAGAGAGAAAAAUAGAGGAGUGUGGUGUGUGUGCCGUGGAGUACCAGAGAAGAAAAGAGGGGUUGCACUUUGUGUUGGGUUGUUAUUGUGUGAGUUGUUUGUUGUGAGUUAGAGAGAUUAAAGUAUUGUGUUUGUAUGUGUAUGUUCUGGAUAGUUGUCCAGAAAAUUUAUAAUAAUAAGAGUACAUUUCCCAGAUUUAUACAAAGUGGUUUAAGAGAGCGUUUAAAAUUUCUACAGUUUCGGCCAGGAGUGUUAAUAUAUUAACUAAACAUAGCUCCAAUGUUACAUAGUUAUGUAAUAUAUAAGUGCAUAUUCAUUGAAGUUUGGUUCAAGAGUGUUAAUAAGUAAACUUUCUUCUUAUGGCUGUAACAUCACCUUCCCAAGCAUACAGCUACGAUGUGUUUCUCAAUUUCAGAGGCUCAGACACACGCCAAGGUUUUACUGGCUUUCUCUACAAAGCUCUACUUGACAGUGGAAUCCACAUUUUCAUUGAUGAUGAGGGCAUUCAGAGUGGAAAGAUAAUAACACCAGAACUCAAGGAGGCAAUUGAAAAGUCCAGGAUUGCCAUCACUGUGCUCUCUACAAACUAUGCUUCUUCUUCCUUCUGUUUAGAUGAACUUGAAAUAAUUCUUGACUGCUUCAAAAGGACAAAACUCUUGGUGUUGCCUGUCUUUUACAAGGUGCCUCCUUCUCAUGUCAGACACCAGCAAGGAAGUUAUGGAGAAGCAUUGGCCAGACUAGAGGAAGGGCUCCACCAUAAAAUGAAGAAUUGGAAGAAGGCGCUGAAAAAAGUAGCUAACCAUUCUGGCUUUCAUUUCGAGGAUGACAGAAAAGAAUAUGAGCACAAGCUUAUUGAGAAGAUUGUUGAGCGUGUCUUCAGCAUUAUUAGUAAUGUUGAAGAAAGAUUGCAUGUUGCAGAUUACCCAGUUGGACUAGAGUCACAGGUCCAUGAAAUAAGAAAGCUUUUGGAUGUUGGAGAUGAUGAUGGUGUCAACAUGAUAGGAAUCCACGGAAUGGGCGGUGUAGGGAAAUCAGCACUUGCCCGGAGAGUUUAUAAUUUGAUUACUCAUCAAUUUGAAGGUUCGUGUUUCCUUCAAAAUGUAAGAGAAGAAUCAAACAAACAUGGGUUAAAACACCUCCAAAGCAUCAUUCUUUCACAGGUACUUGGAAUGAAGGAAAUCAACUUAGCAAGUGAGCAACAAGGAAUUUCAAUAAUAAAAAAUAGGCUCAAGCGAAAGAAGGUUCUCUUAAUUCUGGAUGAUGUAGACAAGCACAAGCAAUUACAUGGAAUUGUUGGAAGUCCUGAAUGGUUUGGUCCCGGCAGCGUAGUCAUCAUCACCACUCGGGACAAACAACUUCUAGCAUCUCAUGAGGUUAAAAGAACACAUGAGGUGAAGGAAUUGAAUGAGAUAGAUGCUCUUAAGUUGCUUAAAUUUAAAGCUUUUAAAAUGGAAGAAGUUGAUCCAAGUUACGAUGAGGUAUUGAAUCAGGUAGUAACUUAUGCUUCCGGUAUUCCACUGGCUUUGGAAGUAAUAGGUUCCAACUUGUUUGGAAAAAGUGUUCAAGAAUGGGAAUCUGCUAUCAAACAAUACAAAAGAAUUCCUAAUAAUAAAAUCCUAGAGAUCCUUAAAGUAAGCUUUGAUUCAUUGGGAGAAGAAGAGAAGAGUGUUUUUCUUGACAUUGCUUGUUGCUUCAAAGGGUAUAAAUUGACAGAGAUUGAAGAGAAACUUCGUGCUCUUUAUGAUAACUGCAUGAAGUACCAUAUUGGGGUGCUAGUUGAAAAGUCUCUCAUAAAGUUUAGUCAUGAUGAAAGAGUCACAUUUCAUGACUUGAUUGAGGACAUGGGUAAAAGAAUUGACCGUCAACAAUCACCGAGAGAGCCAGGGAAGAGAAGGAGAUUAUGGUUACAGGAAGAUAUUAUUCAAGUUUUGAAAGACAAAUCGGGCACUAGUGAAAUCAAAAUUAUCUGCCUGCAUUUCUCCAUAUCCGACGAUCAAGUAGUAGAAUGGGAUGGAAACGCUUUCACAGAUAUGAAAAGUCUUAAAAUACUUAUUGUUAGAAAUGGUAUCUUUUCCCAAAUUUGGAAUCAUCUACCAGAAGGUUUGAAGGUACUAGAAUGGAGGGCACAGGUAGUAGCUAAUGGUUGCAUCACAUCAUUGGAGUAUGGUUCAAUUGUUUCCUUCUAAAUGCAAGGAUGAUAAGGCUGCUGGUUACUAUGAAUAAUUUUAUCAUGAAGGAGAAAGACUUAAACAAGUUAAAUUUUGUACUUCUUACAUUUAUGGAGAACUAUCAAGAUAUAACAUAUGUUUUCCAGUUGUUUUCUUAUAUUAUGUUGAUGAUAGUUGUUUCUGUAUGGGGUCGAGUCACCUAAAUCUGUGGGCUUGGUGCUACGUUCGUCCGAUCUUCUCGCCGUCCUCUCUUCCGUUGGUCACAGUCCGUUCGUCCUGUAUGCCUGGGAGGGUACCUAUCAAAGGUGCUCCGAUGCUUAAGUUAGUAAAGGUCUGAUCGGUUGUUUAGACCUACCUAUCAUGAUCGUCCGGUCUGAGUGCUCGAGUCCUGCCGAACGUCCCAUGUGUUCUGUCUGGGACCGUCCGGGGUCAUCUGGUACAAUAGUUAUUAUCAUCAACAUAUAAUCCCUUCCUAGAUACAUUUGCCUUAUCAAUAUUUUUUUCUUUAAUUUUAGCAACCCUUUUUAAUUGGGUUAGCAACAGUUGUCCAUGGGUUUUUUUCCUAAUCUCGUAGUAUCCUUGCCUUCCCUCUUUCUGAGCAUUUUCUCCUCACCAUUUACCCUAUUAGCUUGAUUAAGUCCAUUCACCAAAGAAAUUAAUCAUAAUAAAGAAGGAAGAAAACAAUGGCAACAUUCUUU